GCUAAGAUAGGAUGAGAAGUUGUGUUGGAGAAGUCUGGUCCUGCAGGGCCCAGGGGCCACACCCACCUUCUCCCAAUAACCCGCAUGGACCAGGACAAACUCCUGCUCCACCCCGAGUCCAACGCGACGCUCGGCCCAAGCCUUCCGGUGGGAACAGCACGCAGGAGUGUCUGCAUCAGCCUGGGAGGUGCAAGGGGAAAAUGAACAAUCUGUGGAAUCAGAAACGUGAAACAAGCCCCCAAGACUAUGACCUCGCCCCCAGACUGUGGACCUUGAGAAGUUAAGCCCCCAGAAGGCUGCAACCAAGUAUGAUAACAGUCCUACUCUGCGAUGCUGGCCCCAGGGGGGGACCCUGGGUCAAAGGCAGCCUGUCCACUUGGCUCCACAGCCUAGAAGUCAUUCCCAGUCCAGCAAACCCUCAUACGGCCAUAAAAGGCCCUGCUCUUCUUCCCAGCCCAGGUACCUCAGAGAGCCUGGAUGAGCUGCUCAGUCUCCCAGGGUCCGAAGGACUUGGCUGCGGGGCUGGAAACCACAGUCCAGCUCAGCUCCUCUCCUGCUCCCCCUGCUGCCACGUGCAGCUGCCAAACUGUACUCAUUUCCCUGGGCAAGACCUCCCCUGCCUUCCACUCCCACGGUCAGUGGCAGGCCAGCCACUCCAGCCUGCCCACACAGACGCCCUGCUGCACCAGCUUCCCGUGACAACACCCUGGCAUGCCACUUCCCUCCGCCUUUCUUGCCUCCCAACCAAAAACAUUCGUUACAAAAACCACACACUCCCCCGCUUAACACUUACCCACACACUCUCCAAGGUCCUGCUCAGUCGCCAGCUUCUCAC